rnacentral:rRNA from 1 species
AUGGCGUCUCUCUUUGAUGCCAACUCCACCACGAACGGCGGCGGCACCGCCGUGGCUGCAGGAUCGCAUCUGGGAGAUUUCUUUGAUCAACUAGAUCUCAACGAGGAAGAGUUUGCUGAUGUUGAGAUUGAUGAGGACGACCCUGAGAUCCAGGAAAGGAUUCGGUGGCUUGCCCUUGCUAGGGUUCAUACAACCAAAAACUUCAGCCCUUCUGCCUUCUACAAGGAUAUGAGGGUCGCGUGGAAUCCAGCGCAAAGUGUUAGAUUUCGACCUGUUGGCCCUAAUCAUUUUGUCCUCCAAGCAUCUUGCUUGGGGGAUUGGGAACGCAUCAUGAUUCAGGGCCCAUGGUUGUUUCGUAAUAUGGCGGUGCUCUUGUGCCUGUAUGAUGGUUUUCGCAAAGCAGAAGAGGUAGAAUUCCACCACCUACCAAUUUGGCUGCAAAUCCACAAGCUACCAGACCCGUACUGCAAGAAGAAUAUUGUGGAGAAGCUUCUAAAGAACUCCGGUGACAUAAUGGAGAUGCGCUUGAACGGGAACACUCGAGGUGAUUAUGUAAGAGUGAGGGUCAAGCAUGAUAUCCGUCAGGCUCUGACAAAAUAUGUUAGUAUUGUUUGUGCCAAGGAACGUCAGGUAUACUUGGUUCGUUAUGAAAAACUUGCCAGGUUUUGUAAACUAUGUGGCCUCAUUGGUCACGAUCACAAGGAAUGUGGACCUGAGGUUCAUGAUGAGAAGGAGCUCAAGUUCGGCGAUUGGAUUUAUGCUGAUGCCCCAAACAAGCCACGUCCAGAUCAUCGAGCUACUAGGGCGUUAGGCUCUGAACCCAAUAAAGUGGCGACUCCUAAGGUGGACAGAAACACGUCUGUGCUGGAUCCUAUUGACCCCGAAGUCAUGGACACUGCUUCUAGCCCAGUUAAAGCACCUGGGGAGAGAAUGGAGGUGAACAGAAUCCCGAAGAAGGGGUUGAACAUGGAUGCAGUUGUGGCUACUUCCCGGAUGUCCCUGGCACGUUGA